UAAACUUAAAGAUUUUGGCGGUGUCUUAUCAGCCCAGGGGAACCUGUCUCAUAAUUCGAUAACCCACGAAUGCCCCACCCUCCCUAGAUUAACCAGCUUGUGUACUGCCGUCGUAAGCACACCUCUAAAAGUUAGAGAAGUAUGCAAUAACG
rnacentral:rRNA from 1 species